CCUACGGGAGGCAGCAGUGGGGAAUUUUGGACAAUGGGCGCAAGCCUGAUCCAGCAAUGCCGCGUGAGUGAAGAAGGCCUUCGGGUUGUAAAGCUCUUUUGUCAGGGAAGAAACGGUGAGGGCUAAUAUCCUUUGCUAAUGACGGUACCUGAAGAAUAAGCACCGGCUAACUACGUGCCAGCAGCCGCGGUAAUACGUAGGGUGCAAGCGUUAAUCGGAAUUACUGGGCGUAAAGCGUGCGCAGGCGGUUGUGCAAGACCGAUGUGAAAUCCCCGGGCUUAACCUGGGAAUGGCAUUGGUGACUGCACGGCUAGAGUGUGUCAGAGGGGGGUAGAAUUCCACGUGUAGCAGUGAAAUGCGUAGAGAUGUGGAGGAAUACCGAUGGCGAAGGCAGCCCCCUGGGAUAACACUGACGCUCAUGCACGAAAGCGUGGGGAGCAAACAGGAUUAGAUACCCUGGUAGUCCACGCCCUAAACGAUGUCUACUAGUUGUCGGGUCUUAAUUGACUUGGUAACGCAGCUACGCGUGAGUAGACCGCCGUCGGGAGGUACGGUCGCGAGAGUAAACGUACGAAGAGUAGUAGACGNGAGAGAGCGACGACGACGACGAGGAGGAGGAGG
rnacentral:rRNA from 1 species